rfam:Callithrix jacchus chromosome 3, whole genome shotgun sequence
AUACUUACCUGGCAGGUGAGAUACUGUGAUUAUGAAGGUGGUUUACCCAGAGUGGGGCUUAUCCAUUGCACUCUGGAUGUUCUGACCCCUGUGACUUCCUCUAAUGUGGAAAACCCAAUGGCAUAAUUUGUGGUAGUGAGGAACUUCUUUUACACUCUCCCUCA